AUUGAACGCUGGCGGCAUGCCUUACACAUGCAAGUCGAACGGUAACGGGCCUUCGGGUGCCGACGAGUGGCGAACGGGUGAGUAAUGCAUCGGAACGUACCUUUCAGUGGGGGAUAACGUAGCGAAAGUUACGCUAAUACCGCAUAUUCUGUGAGCAGGAAAGCAGGGGAUCGCAAGACCUUGCGCUGAUUGAGCGGCCGAUGUCAGAUUAGCUAGUUGGUGAGGUAAAGGCUCACCAAGGCGACGAUCUGUAGCGGGUCUGAGAGGAUGAUCCGCCACACUGGAACUGAGACACGGUCCAGACUCCUACGGGAGGCAGCAGGGGGGAAUUUUGGACAAUGGGGGCAACCCUGAUCCAGCCAUGCCGCGUGAGUGAAGAAGGCCUUCGGGUUGUAAAGCUCUUUCGGCCGGGAAGAAAUCGCACGGGCUAAUACCCUGUGUGGAUGACGGUACCGGAAUAAGAAGCACCGGCCAACUACGUGCCAGCCGCCGCCGUAAUAC
rnacentral:rRNA from 1 species